CAGCAUCAGUUAUGAUUGUUUCCUGUAAGCAGCAUCAAUACUUCUUUGUGAGAUCAACGCCAAGAAUGUCAGAGACAAAUAAAAAGCACAUAACCAUUUAUAUUACUGUUGAAUGUUUUUCCACAUUAUUUUCGUUAUUUGUUUCAAACAACAUAGCUGAUUUUUCAUCAACAUGCGAUUCAGCAGCAUGAGCUGAGUCCCACCAUUUUUUUUUUUUUGAGAAUAACCACUCUUUUUCUUCCCUUGUUGAGACAAUAUAAUCAAGAUAGACUAUGGUUAUGCAACACAAAUGGGAAGAAAUGAACUGAGAAUUCCAUUUCAACCACUGAGAAUUGUACCGACCUUCAAAGUAGCCUCUUG
rnacentral:misc_RNA from 1 species